rnacentral:rRNA from 1 species
AACGAACGCUGGCGGCAGGCCUAACACAUGCAAGUCGAGCGCCCAGCAAUGGGAGCGGCGGACGGGUGAAUAACACGUGGGAAUAUGCCUUUCGGUACGGAAUAACGCAGGGAAACUUGCGCUAAUACCGUAUACGCCCUCAGGGGGAAAGAUUUAUCGCCGAAAGAUUAGCCCGCGUAGGAUUAGCUAGUUGGUGAGGUAACGGCCCACCAAGGCUACGAUCCUUAGCUGGUUUGAGAGAACGAUCAGCCACACUGGGACUGAGACACGGCCCAGACUCCUACGGGAGGCAGCAGUGGGGAAUCUUGGACAAUGGAGGAAACUCUGAUCCAGCCAUGCCGCGUGAGUGAUGAAGGCCUU